AUUGAACGCUGGCGGAAUGCUUUACACAUGCAAGUCGAACGGCAGCACGGACUUCGGUCUGGUGGCGAGUGGCGAACGGGUGAGUAAUGUAUCGGAACGUGCCCAGUCGUGGGGGAUAACGUAGUGAAAAUUACGCUAAUACCGCAUACGAUCUAUGGAUGAAAGCGGGGGAUCGCAAGACCUCGCGCGAUUGGAGCGGCCGAUAUCAGAUUAGGUAGUUGGUGGGGUAAAGGCCCACCAAGCCAACGAUCUGUAGCUGGUCUGAGAGGACGACCAGCCACACUGGAACUGAGACACGGUCCAGACUCCGACGGGAGGCAGCAGUGGGGAAUUUUGGACAAUGGGCGAAAGCCUGAUCCAGCCAUUCCGCGUGCAGGAUGUAGGCCCUCGGGUUGUAAACUGCCUUUGUACAGAACGAAAAGGUUUCUACUAAUACUAGGAGCUCAUGACGGUACUGUAAGAAUAAGCACCGGCUAACUACGUGCCAGCCGCCGCCGUAA
rnacentral:rRNA from 1 species